AUAUUUUGAAUAUGUAAUUAGAAGGCAUUAAAACAACACCGAUUUAUCUGGUUUUGUUGACGCUGUUUAACAUGUGAAGUCGGUAACAGUGGUCGGUGGUAUUUUUUUCGCUUGUAUAAUAAUAUCCUAUCCUACAUGGUAUUAGCGCUGUAUUAUAGUAUACUGCAGGUAUUAGUGACAGUGUUGUAGCGGUAGAUCUAGGGAAACGAUGCAUUUUGUAACGAAGACGUUGGUGUUUUUUGCUGUUCUCAUAGUGUGUCUUAGCCUUCCACAUGGAAAUUUUUAUUUUCCUGAUGAAUUUGACGACAUUAAGAACAAUCCACAACAAUUUAACCGAUUUGGAGAAACAAGUAAUACGAAGACAAAUACUACUACAAAUAGUACUAUGCAACUCGAUAAUCGAUUUUUAGUAGAUAUUCCUUGUAAUCCACCUAACAGGAUGAUCAGAGGCAAAUGUAGAACAGUUUACAAUAACCGAUAAAAUUGUUAUAGAGGGAAAGAUAAAUCACCCUCAGAAGACUGUGGAAAGUACAAUUCAGAUAAAAGUUUCAAUAUAUUUAUAAUUGCCAGCUUGCCGUAUUUACGUAAAAAAGCUUUAACGUGAUAUGUUGAUAUUUAAUUUAAUUUUAGUUUAUAAGUUAAAAUAAAUUAGAUGUAAUGAUAUUUAUUUAAAUAAAUAAUACAAUUUAAA